rnacentral:rRNA from 1 species
GACGAACGCUGGCGGCGUGCUUAACACAUGCAAGUCGAACGGAAAGGCCCUGCUUUUGUGGGGUGCUCGAGUGGCGAACGGGUGAGUAACACGUGAGUAACCUGCUCUUGACUUUGGGAUAACUUCAGGAAACUGGGGCUAAUACCGGAUAGGAGCUCCUGCUGCAUGGUGGGGGUUGGAAAGUUUCGGCGGUUGGGGAUGGACUCGCGGCUUAUCAGCUUGUUGGUGGGGUAGUGGCUUACCAAGGCUUUGACGGGUAGCCGGCCUGAGAGGGUGACCGGGCACAUGGGGACUGAGAUACGGCCCAGACUCCUACGGGAGGCAGCAGGGGGGAAUAUUGCACAGUGAGCGGAAGCCUGAUGCAGCAACGCCGCGGGCGGGAUGACGGCCUUCGGGUUGUAAACCGCUUUCGCCUGUGACGAAGCGUGAGUGACGGUAAUGGGUAAAGAAGCACCGGCUAACUACGUG